UACAGAGGGGGCAAGCGUUGUUCGGAAUUACUGGGCGUAAAGGGCGCGUAGGCGGCCUGCUAAGUCGAACGUGAAAUCCCUGGGCUCAACCCAGGAACUGCGUCCGAUACUGGUUGGCUUGAAUCCGGGAGAGGGAUGCGGAAUUCCAGGUGUAGCGGUGAAAUGCGUAGAUAUCAGGAGGAAUACCGGUGGCGAAAGCGACUCUCUGGACGGCAACUGACGCUGAGGCACGAAAGCGUGGGGAGCAAACAGG
rnacentral:rRNA from 1 species